ACAGAAGCUGCUAUAUUAUGCGGCAUAUAUUAUGCUACAUAUCAAAACCAAACAUUUAUGGGGAAAUCAAAAUAUGUAUAAUCAAAAAUUAAUUAUAAUAUUUGGCUGAAAACGUUCUUCAUCAGCUCGACUACUAAUGCUCCCAACACUACUUGUCCAAAACAUAUGACAACUAUAACAAAUAUCAUACAGGAUGCUCCCAACACUACUUGUCCAAAACAUAUGACAACUAUAACAAAUAUCAUACAGGCAAUACAGGUAGUUCACUUCGGCAUGACUGCUUUGUAUGCAAUGCAACAGCAAAAUACCAUGCAUAACACAGCAUCAUGCAGGCAACUUACUUGGGGAGGAACCAAAUCUAAAAAAAAAGAUGACACAUUGGUUAAAAUGAUUCAUUCUGCAACCUACAGAAAUAUACACAGCUAAAUAUCCAACAAUCGCGGAUGUUGGUCAACUAAGAUAUGUUUCUUUCAGUCAUAUAAAUUGUAAUUGUGUGUGACCCUAACGCUGAUUCAUCCGUUGUUUCAAGUAAAGUCUCUUUUUAACAAGCAUGGUUGUAGCAUCCGCUACAUGUAGCUUCACAAGGGAUCCAAGCCCAUGAGAAGCUUUGGAGGGCUAUUUUCUUUCUAUAAAAGGGGUGACUCACCAGGUUGCUGACGAAAGCCAGUUGUUGAGAGAAUUUAUAGCUUCCUUGCAAUCACAUUCCAAACGAAGAGAUGAAAGGUGGAGUUUAUCAGCUAAUGAGCUUCCAUGCAGUCACAUUCCAAUCAAAUCCCUAAUCAAAUGUCCUCCUUACACUUGAUAGUCAAUUCCAUACCCAAGAACUUGGUAACCGAGUAAGCAUUUCAGAUGUAAACAAGUCAAUUCAACAGUAAAGUAACUUCAAACUAUUAAGGUAUUUUUUUAGUCAGAAGGGAUGUUGAAUUUUUUGCAGAUGAUAUGGCACAACAUCAAGUUCCACUUUGUCAAAAGAAAAGAAACUCACACAGUCUCCCAAAACAUGACAAAA
rnacentral:lncRNA from 1 species